UAAGGAUAUAAAUUGGUGUAAUUAGGAAAAAAUAAUUAUCUUGAAUUAACUAAAAAAGAUAUAAUUAAUUUAUAAUUAUAGAAUAAAUUAAUUUGUUCUUGUGAAUCGAACUUUUAGGGUAUGGGUUGAAUUUCUUUAGUUUAGUUAGUUUAUGUUUAAACUCGUAGGAUAUGAAUUGAAAUUUUAGUUUUUAGGAUUUGUUCUUGUGAAUGAACUUUUAAGAUAUGAAUUGGACCUUUUGGAUAUGAAUUGAACUUUUAGGAUAUAAAUUGGUAUAAUUAGAAAAAAAUAAUUAUCUUGAAUUAACUAAAAAAGAUAUAAUUAAUUUAUAAUUGUAGAAUAAAUUAAUUUAUUCUUGUUUUAUUUGUAUAGAUGGAACAUCGUACUUGGAUGUACAAUAGAAAUUAUCCUAAUCGGCGGGGAUUGCGGGAGAAUUUUAUAGAAGGGGUUGAUGACUUUAUUAGACAUGCAAUGUCACUUCCACCAUACCAAAGUGAAGGAGUAAUUAGGUGCCCUUGUGUCAGGUGCGAUUGUAUGAAGUUUAAAAAAUCGGA
rnacentral:lncRNA from 1 species